GAUGAACGCUGGCGGCGUGCUUAACACAUGCAAGUCGAACGGUGAACGAGGGAGCUUGCUCCCUCCGGAUCAGUGGCGAACGGGUGAGUAACACGUGAGCAAUCUGCCCCGAACUCUGGGAUAAGCGCUGGAAACGGCGUCUAAUACCGGAUACGACGCGCGAAGGCAUCUUCUGCGCGUGGAAAGAAUUUCGGUUCGGGAUGAGCUCGCGGCCUAUCAGCUAGUUGGUGAGGUAACGGCUCACCAAGGCGACGACGGGUAGCCGGCCUGAGAGGGUGACCGGCCACACUGGGACUGAGACACGGCCCAGACUCCUACGGGAGGCAGCAGUGGGGAAUAUUGCACAAUGGGCGCAAGCCUGAUGCAGCAACGCCGCGUGAGGGACGACGGCCUUCGGGUUGUAAACCUCUUUUAGUAGGGAAGAAGCGAAAGUGACGGUACCUGCAGAAAAAGCACCGGCUAACUACGUGCCAGCAGCCGCCGUAAUAC
rnacentral:rRNA from 1 species